AUUGAACGCUGGCGGAAUGCUUUACACAUGCAAGUCGAGCGGCAGCACGGGGGCAACCCUGGUGGCGAGCGGCGAACGGGUGAGUAAUACAUCGGAACAUGCCCAGUCGUGGGGGAUAACACUUCGAAAGAAGUGCUAAUACCGCAUACGUCCUGAGGGAGAAAGCGGGGGAUCUUCGGACCUCGCGCGAUUGGAGUGGCCGAUGUCAGAUUAGCUAGUUGGUGGGGUAAAGGCCUACCAAGGCAACGAUCUGUAGCUGGUCUGAGAGGAUGAUCGGCCAAACUGGGACUGAGACACGGCCAAGACUCCUACGGGAGGCAGCAGUGGGGAAUGUUGGACAAUGGGGGCAACCCUGAUCCAGCCAUUCCGCGUGAGUGAAGAAGGCCUUCGGGUUGUAAAGCUCUUUCGGCAGGAACGAAACGGCGAGCUCUAACAUAGCUUGCUAAUGACGGUACCUGAAGAAGAAGCACCGGCUAACUACGUGCCAGCCGCCGCCGUAAAAC
rnacentral:rRNA from 1 species